rnacentral:misc_RNA from 1 species
UCCUUCUUUUGCUGUUUCUGGUGGUGGGGCAGCUGUAUCGAUCUGGCUUCCACGGACGAUCUCCUUCUUCCUCCCUUCCACGACAUUGUAGAAACGCGCACACGCAUACAUUCACAUCACCAAAGGGACUGCUGCGUUGAGCGCAGUGCGGGCAUCGUCGUCGAUAUGUGGCUUAACGCUGCCCGUCGGUGCGUACGUAGCUAUCCCGGCGACGCCACAGCACAGCUCACGCACGUCAGCUCGGCCGCACGAAAGCAGCCCCGCGCGGCAGCGUUUAUCUUACCCGCUGGCACUGCUCGCUGCUACGCCACGGGACCGGCAGGGACGGACAAUCUUGCCGGCGUCUCGCCGGCUUCUGCCGCGAAGGUGAAAGCUGACAGCAGCCCCGUCUCGUCGAAGACGAAAAGCAGCCGUUUUGUGCGCACCUGCGGCAACGCGGUUCCUCCUGCAACGUCUAGUGCCGAACCCAACGGCGGCGCCAUCCCGCAAGGUGAGGCCGACGCGAGAUGGUCCGCUCUCCACGUGAACUUGUCGGCUCCACCGGGCUUGACCUCUGCCGCUUCCGUGGCAGCGUACCUGCAGCGCCUCCAGAGCCUUCUGCGGCACGGACGCCAUUCUUUCAUGCGCGCCUGUGCCGUGCACGAGCUGGGGAAGAUUUUAUUGCCUUCAGUGAAGGGCAUCGACGGUGCCACUGUACUACUACUGCUGCAGACGCUGCGGAUGGCGGACGCUGACGAGGCCAUGCCCCUUGUCCAAGACGCAACCACGUGGAUGGGUUUGCACGGCUUCCACUUGACCCCGCCACAGAUGACAACCGCGAUUGAGCUGCUGCUGCACUUUGACCGCUCCGUGGCGCGUGAGCUUGCCGUCGCGUUGGUCCAGCGCACGCCCCGGAGCACUCUUUGCUCUUUUUCCACCGCGCGCGUUGUGCCGAUUCUGACGGCAAUGUUGCCAACUCUGACGUACGGCCGAAACAGCAACCUUGCACUCCAGUCGAUCGCGCAACUGGAGCAGGCAAGAGAAAAUAACGUAAUCGCCGCUGAAGGGCUGCGCGACGGAUGCCUGAGCGACGAGUUCCUGUCAGUAUCAUCUGGGUGCCUGACGCAACUCUUGCGCGCCUUGUGGGCCUUUAGGCGAGCGAAUCAAGGCCUCUACAGCACAGUGGCUGCCACCGAGUGGCGAUCCCUGGAGGAGGCUGCGUGCCGCAUACUCGCCACCCCAGAGAAGUGCGCCGAGGUGUCACUCGCUGAACUUAUCAACGUCAUGACCGACCUCACUCAGUGGAGGAAGCAGCGCAACGGCUCGGGCAGCGCGGAGACAGCAGUCAACAACGCGCGGGGACAACUUUUCGCAGCACUUCUUCUUCGGCUAGAGGCGAUCACGGAGCGCCUACGCCGCUGCUCUCCUGAACCGUCCGAAAGGGGCUUUAUCUUGCCAGAGCCGCUGACGAUGAGCGAUAUCUCAGUGGCCUGGUCCCAUUGCUUGGCGCACGCCAAAACUCGCAGCCCCUCUCACGACUUACCCUCCCUUGCAGACAGCGGCGACGGUGCCGACGCCGCAUGUGCAUUUGGGACUUCGCUACAGGCUCUCCAGGCGGCUCUGUGGGGCGUUGUCGCUGCGCGCUGCAGCGCAGAAUCGCAGAGCAUUGACGCAGUGCAGUUGGCUGCGUUCAUGUGCAGUGAGCUAGUAGUGUCCUGGAUGACACAUGCCCACCAGGCACGCGAUGAGGCUCUUGCGCAGGCGGUCGGUGACGACACAUCCGCAGUACUGCCGGAUCUUGCAUCCUUGAUUCCCGAGGCGACACUCCAGGGUGUUGUUGACGGCAUAUCGGCACAGCUACUGGCUGACAGCAUCACAUGGACGCCGCAGAUGGUUCGCCAGGCGGUUACUUUGUUGGGGAACAGCAGAGAUCCCGCGCACCGCGCGCGGGCGCUGGAGCUGGCGAGGAAGUGGUAUCGGCAGCUGCAGUCACGCGCCCAGGAGGGCGAGCGCCUUCAGCCGAUUGAGCUGCUAGCCUUUUUCGUUCCGACUCUGUUGCAAGAGGAGAAGAAGGGCGUGGCGCAGGCGGUGAGAGCGUCCCUGUCGAGGUGGAGCGUUGCAGAGGUGCUGUACUUCUUCACCGAAAUCGCAAUGCACGGCGGGCGCGCAGGUGGUGUGGAGAGCAUGACGGUACUGCGGGACUCGGGCAAGCUGCUCGGCGUGUACGCUGCCAAGGCGUCCGCGCCGCAGCUGGUGGGGCUCGUGGAGUGCUACGGUUUGGCGCAGGUGCGGAGUGAUGACUUCUGUGAGGCGGUUGCUUCUCGAGUGUCAGAGCUGCUGCGAGCCACAGUCGCGGAUGCGUCUCGCGAAAAGACAUACUUGUCAGCCGCGCCACCGACUACUGCGUCCGAAAGUCAGGCAAACUCCUUCGCUGCGGGGGAGGAGCAGGCGAUGCAGACGGAACCUGCCGCCGCGAACAGCACAAGGCCCGGUGCCAUCACCUCUCCGGGAGUGACGAUUUCACAGCUUGCACGGCUGCUCCGCUCCCUUGCACUCAUGGAGACGCGGCAGGUGUCGCCUUUUAUUGACGCCGUUCAUAUCAUCACGCGCGCUGCCGACGCCGACCAGGGCACCGCGGAGCAGAUCACGCAGCUGAUUGCGGCGUAUGCGAAGAUGCUCAUCUGGUGCUAUCCAGUGCUGCGUGCGUUGGCGGAGCGACUUCUGCGAAUGGACAAGUCGGAGGUGACCCUGUCGCACCUCGUUACUGCGCAGCUGGCGCUACUCCGCAUGGACGUCACCCUUCCUUCCUUCACUGCUCGCUUUUAUGAAGAGCUAUCGAAGAUGCACAAGCCAGCGGCAGGCCAAUCCCGUGUCUCGGUCGCUGGUUGCGCCAGUCUGCACGACAUGGUUGUGCAGUUGUCUAUUCUCGCGCGCCUGCGCGGUCACCCGUCAGAGACGCCUUUAGACGAUGCGGUAGCGGAGGUGCUGAUUGAGCGCAUCGUGGCCCACUCAGAUCAUCUGAAGGUGGACGAAGUUGCGGAGGUGCUGCUGUCGCUGAGUCGGCUCGGUAAAGGAAACUCGGCCGCGUUCGGAAGUCUCAACGUUCGGACCCUGGGCAUGUUGCCAAAGUCACCUCCACGGGUGAUGGCGCAUGUGGUGGAGGCAUACGCGCUCGCUGGCCGCGGCGACGACACGGAGCUGUUCACCCUCGUCGCGGAUCGCACUGUAGCCAUGCGCCACGAAAUGGCAUCCGUCACCAUUGCCAGCGUCCUCGCCUCCUUUGCAAAGGCAGGUGUGCGCAACGACAGACUCUUCAUCGAGGUCAUUCCCCGGGUUCGCCACGUCGCGACCUACGGAACCCCGCGCGAUGUGGUGAACGUCGUGAGCGCUUACGCUGCGGUGAAUCUGUGGCACUACAAACUGUUCGCCCGCCUCGCCGAUCGCGCGAUUCAGUUGCGCGCCGACUUCCGCACCCCAGAGGUGGUGGCACUACUCAAGGCGUACGCGACAGUUCAGAUGCGCUACGAUCGUCUCUUCACGGAGUUCGCGCCGCGCAUUCAGACGCUCGUCCACCUGCUCUCGCCGGCAGACCUGGCCUCCAUCGUGUCCAGCUACGCGCAGCUGGACAUACGCUGCCCGCCAGUGUGGAAGGCGACCGCGGCCCAAGCCGUCAUGGUCACCCGCAGCUUCAGCCUCGAAGACGCGAAGACUCUUCUCGAAGCCUACGCGUCGCAGUCGUUCUUUAAUCAAGAGUGCGUCAGCGCCCUAACGGAGCGCUUCCCUGAGCUGGCUAGCAUUUCGUGGGGCUCGGCCGAGACCGUUGCAGAAGGUAACGAGCGUUCUAGCAGCGGCUCUGACGGAUCCGAGAGUGAGCACUGUGGUCAAAACAAAAGCUCGCAGGGCGUGUAAGGCAGAUUAAUGCAGAGUUCCGGUGUCGGGACAGUAGCCUCAUGGGAUGUGACGAGUGCUGUCUGCGAGAGCAACCUCGAGGAAACGAAGAACAAAUCUGCGAUCGAUCCGCACUGCCGGCGACCCGGCAGCGGACCUUCUGUGUGCCUCUUUGUUCUCCCUUUUCCUCAUGGCAGCGGCGCAUACCUCAAUGCGUGUUUUUACACGGUUCAGCGCCUCAUUUUUUUCUGGGGAGGAACCCGGGCCAGUACCCUCCCCGCCUCCCGCCCCCCACCUAUUAUGUACCUUCUGCCGAAUUCCGAGUCACAUGUCGUGGUGGCAGGGUCCAGCACCUACGACGUGGGGAAGCCAGAGCGACGCAUCGCUACUGAUGUCGGCGUUGAGGUCGUGGACGGCGUGGCGUCGGAUCGAGUCUCGGCAGUAGGCACGCACAAACAAAACCACCCACAUGAAGGUUAUGGCUGUGCUUUGCACGGACCGCAUCGCGCCCACUUGCGUGGUACCGCUUUUGCAGGGCUUUCUCUGGCCAUUGUUUGGGUUGUCCUUGUUGGGGGAGGGGGUUUCGCGCGUCUUCAGUGCGUUGCGCGCACGUUGUUUCUUUGUGUCGUUCUCGUAAACGUUUUCGUGCGUGAAAAGAAAAACGACGAAAUGCCGCAAAGGGCAGAACGCGUGGCCAGAUGUGAUGAAGCGGUGAAGAAUGCACCACAAGUAUGCACACGGAGAAAAAGAAGGAAAGCCGACUAUACACGCAAUUCUGUUCGAG